GCUGGCUGCAGCUUACACAUGCAGUCGAGCGGUAGCACAGGGGAGCUUGCUCCCCGGGUGACGAGCGGCGGACGGGUGAGUAAUGUCUGGGAAACUGCCUGAUGGAGGGGGAUAACUACUGGAAACGGUAGCUAAUACCGCAUAACGUCGCAAGACCAAAGAGGGGGACCUUCGGGCCUCUUGCCAUCAGAUGUGCCCAGAUGGGAUUAGCUAGUAGGUGGGGUAAUGGCUCACCUAGGCGACGAUCCCUAGCUGGUCUGAGAGGAUGACCAGCCACACUGGAACUGAGACACGGUCCAGACUCCUACGGGAGGCAGCAGUGGGGAAUAUUGCACAAUGGGCGCAAGCCUGAUGCAGCCAUGCCGCGUGUGUGAAGAAGGCCUUCGGGUUGUAAAGCACUUUCAGCGAGGAGGAAGGUGGUGAACUUAAUACGCUCAUCAAUUGACGUUACUCGCAGAAGAAGCACCGGCUAACUCCGUGCCAGCAGCCGCGGUAAUACGGAGGGUGCAAGCGUUAAUCGGAAUUACUGGGCGUAAAGCGCACGCAGGCGGUUUGUUAAGUCAGAUGUGAAAUCCCCGGGCUCAACCUGGGAACUGCAUUUGAAACUGGCAAGCUAGAGUCUCGUAGAGGGGGGUAGAAUUCCAGGUGUAGCGGUGAAAUGCGUAGAGAUCUGGGAGGAAUACCGGUGGGCGAAGGCGGGCCCCCUGGGACGAAAGACUGACGCUCAGGUGCGGAAAGCGUGGGGGAGCAAACAGGAUUAG
rnacentral:rRNA from 1 species